ACUAGAUUCUGUUCCGAAAUAUCACUUACUCGAACCGUCCUGACCGCGUAGCUCAGUUGGAAGAGCAUUGGGCUAGUGUUCCAAAGGUCGUAGGUUCGAAUCCCACCGUGGCCGGGCAUAUUUUUCAAGCUCGCCCGGUGUGGAUAUACACUCAGAGUUACACCACAAAUAUCAUAUUCACCUGAGUACACUACACCAACACAGAAAAAAUUCAUAUUGCUAGAAUACAUUGGUAUCGAAGGAACUAGAUUCUGUUCCGAAAUAUCACUUACUCGAACCGUCCUGACCGCGUAGCUCGGUUGGAAGAGCAUUGGGCUAGUAUUCCAAAGGUCGUAGGUUCGAAUCCCACCGUGGCCGCGCAUAUUUUUCAAGCUCGCCUGGUGUGGAUAUACACUCAGAGUAACAUCGCAAACAUAUUAUUCACCUGAGUACACAACACCAACACAGAAAAAAAAAAUUCAUAUUACUAGAACAUAUUGGUAUUGAAGGAACUAGAUACUGUUCCGAAAUAUCAC
rnacentral:tRNA from 1 species